GCUGGGUGUGGUGGUGCUUGCCUGUAAUCCCAGCUACUCAGGAGGCUGAGGCACGAGUAUCGAAAGUUCAAAGCCAGCCUCAGCAACUUAGCAAGGCCCCUAAGUAACUCAGUAAGACCCUGUCUCUA
rnacentral:sRNA from 1 species